rnacentral:tRNA from 1 species
GGAGAGGUGGCCGAGCGGCUGAAGGCGCUCCCCUGCUAAGGGAGUAUGGGUUGACCCCCAUCGAGGGUUCGAAUCCCUCCCUCUCCGCCA